UUUUUUUAAUUCUGAUUUUAUUUUCUAUUUCAUUUUUAAAUUCCAUUUCAUUUUCUAAAAUCCAUAUCUCUUUUAUUAUUGGUCCAAAAAUUAUGGGACCAAUUGCAUUAUUUCUCUUUUAAUUUCUAGUUUCUAAAAAUGAUUUUUAAUAUUUUUUAUUUUAUCAUUUGCUAUUUUUUAAUAAUUUUCUCUUUUCUGGUUAUUUUUAAUUCAUUUUAAAUAGUUUUUGAUAUUCAGAAAAUACAAAAAUAUUUUCUCAACCUC
rnacentral:lncRNA from 1 species